rnacentral:misc_RNA from 1 species
GGUUAGCACAAGAAAAUGUCAAGCUUUUAUCAGCUCUAAACGACUAAACCACCCUAUCUGAAUGAAUGAAUCCAUCAACCAGUCGCGUAAGUGAGGAUCAAACAAAAUCUAACAGAUCGAAAUUUAACUUUUUGCAUUACAAGAAGGAACACUGAUGGACCAAAUCUUGCCCCUUCUCAUUUUAUGUGGCAAACACAACAAAUGCUGAUAAAACCACAAUUGCUAGCACUAGUUUGUUCGUCCUCCGAGGAAUUGCAGACAAGAGUCAUGGAUAACAAACAACAAUUUGGAAGGUAUGAUCAGCUCUGCACAGUCAUUCAUUGACAACUCAAUUACUGGAGAGAUUCAUCAACAAGUCAUUUCUCCCAUUCAUCACAGUUCGAUACAAAAUUUUCUAACUUGAUGAACGGCAGACAUUACACGUUUUGUCCAUCAACCUCCUAGAAGUGUUCAGGGGCAGUACAGGCAUCUAGUGAAAGUAACCAAGAACCUGACCACCCACAUUCCGACCAAUUGCUUCU